rnacentral:rRNA from 1 species
CCUACGGGAGGCAGCAGUGGGGAAUAUUGCACAAUGGGGGAGACACUGAUGCAGCGACGCCGCGUGAGUGAAGAAGUAUUUCGGUAUGUAAAGCUCUAUCAGCAGGGGAGAAAAUGACGGUACCUGAUUCAGAAGCCCCGGCUAACUACGGGCCAGCAGCCGCGGUAAUACGUAGGGGGCCGGCGUUAUCCGGAUUUACUGGGGGUAAAGGGGGCGUAUACGGCCGCACAAGUCUGGAGUUAAAUGCCGGGGAUUAACCCCGGAACUGCUGUGGAAACUGGGCAGCUAGAGUGCAGGAGAGGUACGGGGAAUGCCUGGGGUAGCGGUGAAAUGCGUAGAUAUUACGAGGAACACCAGUGGCGAAGGCGGCGUACCGGAGCGUAACUGACGUUGAGGCUCGAAAGCGUGGGGAGCAAACAGGAUUAGAUACCCGGGUAGUC